GAGUGCAGUGACCUCUGCGUUCGAGGGCAGCCUCUUCGCGUCCAGAGUCUACACUUCAUUUGCAUCUCAAAGAAAAGGGCCAUUCCUUUGAGGACAACAAUGUCAACAUUUCAUAGACAGAGCCGAUCGAUGGUUUGAGAGGCAACCAUAACACAAGGCAAACAUAACCAACAACCAGUUGUUUCUCUUCAAGAAAAAUCAAGGUGUUGAGCAUUGGAUGUGGGAAAAGAACACAAAAAUACCUUUCUCAGUCAGGCGUGUGGGCGUUUUCCCUUAUGAGUCACAUUUCUCCUGCUUUAAAAGCCAUGCCACGCCGACAACUGGUUGUCGUAACAAUCAAGAAGUCACCAACAACUUUAAAUGAGUCGGCACCAAGGAUUGGAGUUGAAAUGUAAAUGCCUCUAGUGUUUUGCGCCAGGAAUAGAAGCUGCCAUGUCUCAGUAAGAGGGCCACUCUGCUAAC